UGCGUGGAUGCCUCUGACGGCGGGCGAGACAAGAAGCGGCUGCAGGCUGGGAAACCCCUGUGCGUGAAAGCAGCCGCUAUUGCGGACUUCGUCCUUGGCGCGCCUGCGGUGGAGACUGAGCGCAGAAGCGGCCGAGUGAAAAAAAAAAAGCAAGAGUUGAAUCAGUUUCAGGAAUCUGCCUCUUCCCGCUGCUGCUGCUGCGCUCAGGAUCGCCGUCCCCAGCUCCGCCUCCUCUCCUCUGCGAUCUCCCUCUCCCUCUCUCCCUUCGCAGCUCAGUCUCGGAUUGUCCCUUGAGGGUGGAAGAAAAAGGGAUCUCCGUCGAGAAAAAGAGGAACCGGGAGGACGAGGCUCACCAUUUCCCUGCUACCUCCGGACUGAGGGAAAGGGAUUAUUCGCGACCGCCGGCGUAACGCUAAACUUUUAUUGCAGUGUCGCCAGCCCGCCCCACUCUUGCUCUUGGAUCCAGAAAGACUGCAGCGCGCAGAGGGAAGAUCCUUCGCAGGUUGGCCAUCUCUUGCUUGGGGGCAGACACUGAAGGGCGCUUGGAAGGCGGGGACGACACUCCAAGACUGCGCGGCCCUCCGGGAUCCUCGCUCCCGAUAGCUGCUUGAGAGAUUCUCCGGGCUAAACGGCUUCUGGGUUCAAAUGUGAUUUUGCUUCUCUUUUCUCUCUCUCUCUCUCCCUUUCUGGUCCUACUACCCCGGCCGGAGGAGACUCACUUUUACUUCGGCUGGAUGUGCUGCCACGAGGCGGGCGACGUGAGCUUGGCUAACUUUAAAGGGCUUCACCUUUAAUAAUAAGGAUUGCGCGGCGCCCCCCCCCCCAAAGAUGACUAGAUCCCCUACGGGGUGAGCCCAUUUUGCUCUCUCCUCUUCCCUUGUUCGUUCACCCCCCCCCCCGAGAAGCCCUUCUUCCCACUUUGGGACCUCGUCCCACUCGGGAACUGAUGACAGGCCCAUCCGGCUUCUUCCCUUUGGUGCGCCGUAAUAACUCUAAAGGCCGGACGAGCUCGGCCUCCGAAUUCUCUCCGAAAUACUGGUUGCUGUGUGAAACUGGCGAGUGAAGCGAGAGGAGAGAAGCCCGCCUCCCUUCUGCGCCGGAGCCUGGGAGCUCCCUGUUGGCGGUCGUCGGCCGUCGCCCGGAGUCGAGCUUUUGCGUCUCUUUCUCCCUCGCCCUUCUUGGCCGGUUAUGCAGACUCCCAGCGGCCGCGGCGGCCGCUACUAGCACCCGAAGCUGGCUGCUCCGGAGCCGAGCGGUGGAAAUGGUCGCUCCUUGCCAAACGGCGGGGCGAGAGCGCGAGCGAGUGCAGAGGGGGGCGUCGAGCUUCUGGGUUGAGCGUGUGCCGCGCGCGUGGGCUCCCGGCUGCUCGGCUCUCCACCGUGGAAGCCCUCCCGUCUCUAGAUGGAAUUAGUGGAGAGCGAAGCCCCUUGUGUAAGGAACAGACAUGAUCCAUGGACGCAGCUUGUUUCACAUUGUAGCAAGUUUUAUCAUCCUACACUGGGCUGGGGCAACAAAAAAAGGAGCAGAAAAGCAAAGCAGUUCAGAAGGACAGAAGACAGUUCAGUGUGGAGUGUGGACAAAAUACACAGAAGGAGGUAUUUUCACUUCCCCGAAUUAUCCCAACAAAUAUCCUCCUGACAGAGAAUGUGUCUAUAUUAUAGAAGCUGCCCCAAGACAAUGUAUUGAGUUGCACUUUGAUGAGAAAUAUUCCAUAGAGCCUUCUUGGGAGUGUAAAUUUGAUCAUAUUGAAGUGCGAGAUGGACCUUUUGGAUUUUCUCCAAUAAUUGGUCGUUUCUGUGGACAGCAAAAUCCACCUAAAAUAAAAUCCAGUGGCAGAUUCUUGUGGAUUAAAUUUUUUGCUGAUGGUGAACUUGAAUCUGUAGGAUUUUCUGCACAGUACAAUUUCACACCUGAUCCUGAAUUCAAGGAUCUUGGGGUUUUGAAACCAUUGCCAGUUUGUGAGUUUCAAAUGGGAGGAUCUGAAGGAAUUGUGGAAUCGGUGCAGAUCGGAAAAGAAGGGAAAGCUUCUGAUUCUGAGGCUGUUGAUUGUAAAUGGUACAUCCAAGCACCACCACGAUCCAAGAUAUACUUACGAUUCUUGGACUAUGAAAUGCAGAAUUCUAAUGAAUGCAAAAGGAACUUUGUGGCUGUCUAUGAUGGAAGUAGCUCAGUGGAGGAUUUAAAAGCAAAGUUUUGCAGUACUGUUGCUAAUGAUGUGAUGCUGCGCACAGGUCUUGGAGUAAUCCGCAUGUGGGCAGAUGAAGGCAGUCGAAACAGCCGAUUCCAGAUGCUCUUCACAUCUUUCAAAGAACCCCCCUGUGAAGCCAACACAUUUUUUUGCCAUAGUAAUAUGUGUAUUAAUAAUACAUUGGUCUGCAAUGGACUCCAGAACUGUGUAUAUCCAUGGGAUGAAAACCACUGCAAAGGAAAGACAAAAGCCAGCCUAUGGGACCAGCUUACAAAUACCAGUGGGACAAUCAUUGGGGUGACUUCCUGCAUUGUGAUCCUCCUUAUCAUCAUCUCUGUAAUAGUCCAGAUCAAACAGCCUCGUAAAAGAUUUGUCCAGAGGAAAGCAGACUUUGAUCAAACAGUAUUCCAAGAGGUCUUUGAGCCUCCUCAUUAUGAGUUAUGUACUCUUAGAGGGACAGGAACUUCAGUGGACCUUGCAGAUCUUGCAGAUGACUUUGAAAAUUAUCAUAAACUCCGUAGGUCAUCUUCGAAAUGCAUUCAUGACCACCACUGUGGAUCACAAUUAUCUAGCACUAAGGGCAGCCAUAGUAAUCUUAGCACAAGAGAUACACCGAUCUUGACAGAAAUUCAACCCCAGCCUGCAAAGCCCCUUAUCCAGCCUAUGAACAGAAGAAACAUCCUUGUCAUGAAGCAUAGCUACUCACAAGAUGCUGCAGAUGUGUGUGAGAUAGAUGAAAUUGAAGAGGUACCAACCACGAGUCACAGGCUGUCCAGACAUGAUAAAGCUGUUCAGCGCCAUAACAUUCCAGGUUCUGCCUCAUUGGAUCUCUAAACAAACAUGAAUCUGAGUACAACACAACUAGGGUAUAAAAGACAACUGAAGACUGUUUGAGAAUAGUGCAUUCCGGGGUGAUUUUGAAUAGACAACAGUGACCUAUGAAAGUAUCAGCUCUGGAACUUCAAGCUAGAGAUGUUCUGGACUCCAAUGAACUACUCCAGUUUCGUGAAAAAAACCCAUCAGUCAAUAAUAAGCAAAAUUAAUGAAUGGCAAUAAGACCCUUAUUACUAUAUUUAUUAUUGUAAUCAUAUUUUUCUUUUAUAUUGUUAUUUAUUUUAUUAUUUGAUUACAAAGAAAAGUUAUCCACUUUCAGGAACAAAUGAUUAAAUCAGGUAUUUAUGAAUUCAUAACCACUUCAACAGAAAUAUCAGUUGAAAACAUAUCUAAUAAUGUGGCGGAAGGUCACACUGAGAAAUUGAUCUGCAUGUAUGUUGCCGAAGAUUUGAAUCGGCAAAAAAAAAAAAAGUUUGAGUUUCAUUGUAAAAAGCAUGCAUUCAUACUUACUGCUAUUCCAAUCCAUUUCUUUGUGUCAUAUGCUUGCUAAUUGUAAAUUUUUCUAUAAUGUUACAUAAAACAAUGUAUAAUAAUUUCUUAAA